rnacentral:misc_RNA from 1 species
GAUGAAGAACGUAGCGAAAUGCGAUAAGUAAUGUGAAUUGCAGAAUUCAGUGAAUCAUCGAGUCUUUGAACGCAAGUUGCGCCCGAAGCCAUUAGGCCGAGGGCACGCCUGCCUGGGCGUCACACGUCGUUGCCCCCCCCAUCUACUCCUUCGGGAUUGCGGGGGGCGGAUGAUGGCCUCCCGUGCGCCUCGCCGCGCGGUUGGCAUAAAUACCAAGUCCUCGGCGACGCACGCCACGACAAUCGGUGGUUGCGAAACCUCGGUUGCCCGUCGUGUGCGUUCGUCGCGCAUCGAGGGCUCGAAAAAAUGCUCGGCUUCGGCUCGGCUUUCAACGCGACCCCAGGUCAGGCGGGGUUACCCGCUGAAUUUAAGCAUAUCAAUAAGCGGAGGA